AUCUGAUUGAUGUCAUGAGCCCAAAGUCAAAUAUCUACAGAUACAAGCACAAAACCAGAAGUACGCAUAUACACGUGUGCACUGUUUGCAUGUGAACAGGCAGGCUUUCCCUUUAGGAAUGGUGGUAGAAGCCGACGUGAAGCCUGGUGGUCUCACAAUAGCUCUGUAUGGGAAUGUCCCCCAUCCAACCUUUCCUUAACCAUAACCAUACAGAGAG